AGAAUAUGAGCAGGAGAGAGAGAAUCCCAUGUAGGCUCUGCACUGUUAAUUCAGAGACCGACUGGGGCUUGAACCCACAAACUGUGAGAUCAUGAUCUUAGCUAAAACCAAAAGUUGGAUGCUUAACUGAUUGAACCACCCAGCUGCCCCCACUUUUUACUUUUAAACUGAAUUGAAUUUUUGCAUAGAUAUGUGGCUCAAAAAUACAGUACAAAAAGGUAACCAGUGAAGUACCCUUGUUCGUUGUCUGCUCAUUUAAUACCUUCAAUUCCUGUGGCACCUUUUUAUGACAAAGGUAGCAGAUUAUGCACACAUAAUCUUUUUCAUUUAAUAUAUUGUAGAAAUCUUUCCAUUUAUUCAUUUUUAAGAUCUUAUUUUUAAGUAAUCUCUAUACCCAAUGUGGGGCUCAGACUUAGAACCUGAAGCUCAAGAGUUGCAUGCUCUAUCAACUGAGCCAGCCAGGUGCCCUGAAAUCUUUCCAUUUUAUAACAUAGUUCUCAUUCUUUUUUACAUGUGGAUUCUUUUCUAUUGUAUGAAUAUGGGCAUUUUCAAUUCAUAUAUUCUUUUGCUAAAAGUGAACAACCAUAUGCAUAAUUCAUACAUACAUACAUACACAUAUUUCAGUGUAUGUAAAUACAUCUGUAAAAUCUCUACUCUCAAGAACUGGGCUUGUGGGUCAAAAUUAAAUAUAUAUAUAAUUUCGAAAGAUAUUACUAUGCUUCACCACUUAGAGUAAGUAUAUAUGUUUACAAUCCCAACCAGCAGUAUAUGAAUGUGCCUGUUUCAGUGGGAAUUCUUUAUUUUUUAUUAUUUAUUUAUUUACUUAUUUAUUUACUUAUUUAUUUUGAGAGAGAGAGAGAGUGGGACAGGGAGGGCCAAAGGGAGAGGGAGAGAGAGAAUCUUAAACAGGCUCCAUGCCCAGCAUGGAGCAUGAGGUGGGGCUCAAUCUCAUGACUGAGAUCAUGACCUGAGCUGAAAUCAAGAGGCAGACACUUAACUGAGAGAGCCACCCAGGCACCUCAAAUUUUUAUUUUUUAACUUAUUUUUAUUUUCUUAAAUGUUUAUUUAUUUUGUGAGAGAGAGCACCAGCAGGGGAGGGACAGAGAGAGGGAAAGAGAGAAUCCCAAGCAGGCUCCAUGCUAUAGGCAUGGAACCUGACACAGGGCUCCAUCUCAUGAACAGUGAGAUCAUAACCUGAGUUGAAAUCAAGAGUUGGAUGCUUAACUGAUUGAGCCACCCAGACACCCCUUUUAUUUAUUUAUUCAUCCACUUAUUUGUUUGUUUAUUUAUUGUACACUUCACACCCAGCAUGGAGUCCAACACAGGGCUUGAACUCGUGACCCUGAGAUCAAGACCUGAGCUGAGAUCAAGAGUCGGACGCUUAACCAGUUGACCACCCAGGUGCCCCUAGUUUUUAAUUGUGGUAAAGUACACAUAACAUGAAAUUUUCUACCCUAACCAUUUAUUUAAAAAGUUUAUUUUGGGAGAGAGGGAGGGGAAGAGCGAGUUGGGGAGAGGUAGAGAGAGGGAGAGAGAAUCCCAAGCAGGCUCUGCACUGGCAGCAUGGAGUUGGACAUGGGACUCAAACUCAUGAACAUUGAGAUCAUGACCUGAGCCCAAAUCAAGAGUCAGAUGCUUAACUGAUGGAGCCACCCAGGCGCCCCAAAGCACAAGGUUUUUAAUUCUGAUCAAGUCCAGUUUAAUUUUUUUUCUUUGUGCUUUUGGUGUCAUAUGUAAGAAAACAUUGUCUAAUACAAAAUCAGGAAGAUGGGGCAUCUGGUUGGUUUCUGUCAGUAGAACAUGCAACUCUUGAUCCCGGGGUUGUAAGUUAAAGCCCCACAUUGACUUUAGGGAUUACUUAAAAAUAAAAUCUUAAAAAGAUACAUACUAAACAAACAAAAUAAAAUCUUAAUCAGGAAUAUUUACUCCUAUGAUUUCUUCUAAAAUUGUAUUUUUGCUCUUAAAUUUAGGUCUUUUAUCCAUUUAGAAUGUUUUGUAUAUGGUGUGAGAUAGGAGCCCAACUUCUUUUGCAUGUGGGUAUCUAGUUGUCCUAGCACCAUUUGUUGAAAAGAUUAUUCUUUCCUUAGUAAAUGAUUUUGGCACCCUUGUAAAUAUGUCAGGAUUUAUUUGUGGACUCUGAAUUAUGUUCUUCUGAUGAUCUGUAUGUCUAUCCAUAAUUAUGCCACUGCCACACAUUUAUGAUUGAUAUAACUUUGUAGUAAGUUUGAAAUCAGGAAGUGUAUGUCCUCUAAUUUUGUUUUUCAUUUUCAAGGUGGUUUUGUUUAUUCUGUCCCCUUGCAUUUUCAUAUACAGUUUAGGAUCAGCUUGUCACUUUCUGCAAAAAAGGGAACUGGAAUUUUGAUAGAGACUGUGUUGAAUUUAUAGAUUGUUUUGAGGCUUUUCUUCAUCUUAGCAAUAUUAUCUCCAAUCCCUAAACAUGGAAUAUUGUUUCAUUUAUUUAGGUCUUUAAUAUUGUUUGGUGGUGGUUUAUGGUUUUCCGCAUACAAGUCUUGCACUCCUUUUUUUUUUAAACAUUUUAUUUUAUUCUAAUUUCUUAAUGUUGUUUAUUUUUGAGAGAGACAGAGUGUGAGCAGGGGAGGGGCAGAGAGAGAGAGUGACACACAGAAUCUGAAGCAGGCUCUAGGCUCUGAGCUGUCAUUACAGAGCCCAGUGUGGGACUUGAACUCACAAACCAUGAGGUCAUGACCUGAGCCAAAGUCGGAUGCUUAACCCGCUGAGCCACCCAGGCGCCCCUCGCACUCCAUUUAAACAUUUAAUUCUAAACUUUUUUGAUGCUAUUUUAAAUGGAAUUGUUUUGUUUUGUUUGUAAGUAGGCUCCAUGCCCCAACACAGGGCUUGAACUCAGGACCCUGAGAUUGAGAGUCGUGUAUUCUACCAACUGAGCUAGCCCCUUAAUUUUGUCUUGGGUGAUUUGUUGUUAGUCUGUAUAUCUUCUUUGGGAAAGUGUGUAUUCAGGUCCUUUUCUCCUUUUUAAUCAGAUUAUUUUAAUCAGACUAUUUGUUUUAAUCAGAUUUUUUGUGUUGUGUAAGUUCUUUGUAUAUUUUGGACAUUAACUUCUUAUCAGAUACAUUAUUUGCAAAUAUCUUCUCCCAUUCAGUAGGUUGCCUUGUCAUUUCAUUGAUGGUUUCCUUCACUGUACAAAAUCUUUUUAUUUUGGUGUAGUUCCAUCCCCUCUUCAUUUUUAAUGUAUGUAUUAUAUUGAUUUUUUUGUAUAUUGAACCAGUUUUGCAUUCUUGGGAUAAAUUCCAUUUUGUGUAGAGUUGUAUAUUUUUUGUAGGUUGCUGUAUUUGGGUUGCUGGUAUUUUCUUGAAGAUUUUUACAUUUUCAGGCAUUAGGGAUACUAGCGUAUAGGUGUAUAGUUCUCUUGGAAUGUCCCUGUCUGGUUUUGAUAUUAGGGUAAUAAUUGUCCUGACAGAAUGAAUUUUACUUAAUUUUUUAUGUGGUUAUUUUUAUAGUAGGAGUUACUUUCUAAGGUUUUUUUUUUUUUUUUUUUUUUUUAGAGAUGGGGAGGGGCAUUGAGAGGGAGAGGGGAAUCGAGGAUCCAAAGCAGGUUCCAUCCCGGCAUCAGCAAGUCCGAAAUGGGGCUGGAACCCAUAAGCCGUGAGAUAUGACCCAAGCUGAAUCAGUUGCGUGUGCGACUUCCACUGGGGUUGUGAUCUCAUGGUUUGUGGGUUCAAGCCCUGCAUCUGGCUCUCUGCUGUCCGCAGGAGGCUUGCUUUGGAUCCUUGGUUCCUUUCUUUUUGCACUGCAUGCUUUCUUUC